rnacentral:rRNA from 1 species
UACAGAGGUCUCAAGCGUUGUUCGGAUUCAUUGGGCGUAGAGGGUGCGUAGGUGGCGAUGUAAGUCUGGUGUGAAAUCUCAGGGCUCAACCUUGAAAUUGCAUUGGAUACUGCGUUGCUUGAGGAUUGUAGAGGAGAGUGGAAUUCACGGUGUAGCAGUGAAAUGCGUAGAUAUCGUGAGGAAGACCAGUUGCGAAGGCGACUCUCUGGGCAAUUCCU